rnacentral:rRNA from 1 species
UAUUGCCACCUAGUGAUUUAUGAGUUAGUGGCGGACGGGUGAGUAACGCGUGGAAAACCUGCCGUAUACUGGGGGAUAACACUUAGAAAUAGGUGCUAAUACCGCAUAAGCGCACAGCUUCGCAUGAAGUGGUGUGAAAAACUCUGGUGGUAUACGAUGGUUCCGCGUCUGAUUAGCUAGUUGGUGGGGUAACGGCUCACCAAGGCGACGAUCAGUAGCCGGCCUGAGAGGGUGAACGGCCACAUUGGGACUGAGACACGGCCCAAACUCCUACGGGAGGCAGCAGUGGGGAAUAUUGCACAAUGGGGGAAACCCUGAUGCAGCGACGCCGCGUGAGUGAAGAAGUAUUUCGGUAUGUAAAGCUCUAUCAGCAGGGAAGAAAAUGACGGUACCUGAUUAAGAAGCCCCGGCUAACUACGUGCCAGCAGCCGCGGUAAUACGUAGGGGGCAAGCGUUAUCCGGAUUUACUGGGUGUAAAGGGAGCGUAGACGGCAACACAAGUCUGAAGUGAAAUGCCGGGGCUUAACCCCGGAACUGCUUUGGAAACUGUGCAGCUAGAGUGCAGGAGAGGUAAGUGGAAUUCCUAGUGUAGCGGUGAAAUGCGUAGAUAUUAGGAGGAACACCAGUGGCGAAGGCGGCUUACUGGACUGUAACUGACGUUGAGGCUCGAAGGCGUGGGGAGCAAACAGGAUUAGAUACCCUGGUAGUCCACGCUGUAAACGAUGAUUACUAGGUGUUGGGGGACCAAGGUCCUUCGGUGCCGUCGCAAACGCAUUAAGUAAUCCACAUGGGGAGUACGUUCGCAAGAA